CAGCAAUGUUCAGAUGCAUCCUGACACAUCAGGAGAGUCCCAGAGAAGGAACAUGGCUAAGGGCCUCCAAAAACCAAAGCAAAAGCUCCACACAGCGAGCUGGUGGCACCAGGCCAGGUAUGGAAGACGGAGAUUGGCCCCAAUUCAAGACAAUUUGAUACAAAGAGGAAACACUUGACAUAGAAUGCUGCAUGAAGAAGGUCAUGUGGAAAUUCAAUUCUUCAGAAGCUGCCUUAUGAGGGUUGGUAGUUUAGAUCUUUUUUCCCCCUAUUCUUUCUUUCCUUCCUUCCUUCCUUCCAUUCCUUCUCGG
rnacentral:lncRNA from 1 species